rnacentral:rRNA from 1 species
CGAAAGUAAGACUAAUACCCAAUGAUAUCUCUAGAAGACAUCUGAAAGAGAUUAAAGAUUUAUCGGUGAUGGAUGGGGAUGCGCGUGAUUAGCUUGUUGGCGGGGUAACGGCCCACCAAGGCAACGAUCAGUAGGGGUUCUGAGAGGAAGGUCCCCCACAUUGGAACUGAGACACGGUCCAAACUCCUACGGGAGGCAGCAGUGAGGAAUAUUGGUCAAUGGACGAGAGUCUGAACCAGCCAAGUAGCGUGCAGGAUGACGGCCCUAUGGGUUGUAAACUGCUUUUAUAAGGGAAUAAAGUGAGUCUCGUGAGACUUUUUGCAUGUACCUUAUGAAUAAGGACCGGCUAAUUCCGUGCCAGCAGCCGCGGUAAUACGGAAGGUCCGGGCGUUAUCCGGAUUUAUUGGGUUUAAAGGGAGCGUAGGCCGGAGAUUAAGCGUGUUGUGAAAUGUAGACGCUCAACGUCUGCACUGCAGCGCGAACUGGUUUCCUUGAGUACGCACAAAGUGGGCGGAAUUCGUGGUGUAGCGGUGAAAUGCUUAGAUAUCACGAAGAACUCCGAUUGCGAAGGCAGCUCACUGGAGCGCAACUGACGCUGAAGCUCGAAAGUGCGGGUAUCGAACAGGAUUAGAUACCCUGGUAGUCCGCACGGUAAACGA